AUGAACGCUGGCGGCGUGCCUAAUACAUGCAAGUCGAGCGAACAGACGAGGAGCUUGCUCCUCUGACGUUAGCGGCGGACGGGUGAGUAACACGUGGAUAACCUACCUAUAAGACUGGGAUAACUUCGGGAAACCGGAGCUAAUACCGGAUAAUAUAUUGAACCGCAUGGUUCAAUAGUGAAAGACGGUUUUGCUGUCACUUAUAGAUGGAUCCGCGCCGCAUUAGCUAGUUGGUAAGGUAACGGCUUACCAAGGCAACGAUGCGUAGCCGACCUGAGAGGGUGAUCGGCCACACUGGAACUGAGACACGGUCCAGACUCCUACGGGAGGCAGCAGUAGGGAAUCUUCCGCAAGGGGCGAAAGCCUGACGGAGCAACGCCGCGUGAGUGAUGAAGGUCUUCGGAUCGUAAAACUCUGUUAUUAGGGAAGAACAAAUGUGUAAGUAACGAUGCACGUCUUGACGGUACCUAAGCAGAAAGCCACGGCUAACUACGU
rnacentral:rRNA from 1 species